rnacentral:rRNA from 1 species
UACGUAGGGCGCAAGCGUUGUCCGGAAUUAUUGGGCGUAAAGAGCUCGUAGGCGGCCUGUUACGUCUGCUGUGAAAUCCCGGGGCUUAACCCCGGGCGUGCAGUGGAUACGGGCAGGCUGGAGGCAGGCAGGGGAGAACGGAAUUCCUGGUGUAGCGGUGAAAUGCGCAGAUAUCAGGAGGAACACCGGUGGCGAAGGCGGGUCUCUGGGCCGUAACUGACGCUGAGGAGCGAAAGCGUGGGGAGCGAACAGG